AGGACGAACGCUGGCGGCGUGCCUAACACAUGCAAGUCGAGCGAGGAGAUCCUUCGGGAUGAUCCUAGCGGCGGACGGGUGAGUAACACGUGGGCAACCUGCCUCAUAGAGAGGAAUAGCCUUCCGAAAGGGAGAUUAAUACCUCAUAACAUUGCAGUUUCGCAUGGAACAGCAAUUAAAGGAGUAAUCCGCUAUGAGAUGGGCCCGCGGCGCAUUAGCUAGUUGGUGAGGUAACGGCUCACCAAGGCGACGAUGCGUAGCCGACCUGAGAGGGUGAUCGGCCACAUUGGGACUGAGACACGGCCCAGACUCCUACGGGAGGCGGCAGUGGGGAAUAUUGCACAAUGGGGGAAACCCUGAUGCCAGCAACGCCGCGUGAGUGAUGACGGCCUUCGGGUUGUAAAGCUCUGUCUUCAGGGACGAUAAUGACGGUACCUGAGGAGGAAGCCACGGCUAACUACGUGCCAGCCGCCGC
rnacentral:rRNA from 1 species